rnacentral:ribozyme from 12 species
UACACGUGCUCACUCAAACAAACAAACAAACAAACAAAAGAAAAAGAACAAACAAACAAACCAUCAUCAUCAACAUGUUCCUUCUUCUUUUUCUUCUUCUU